rnacentral:ncRNA from 1 species
CAGAGUAGGAAACCUCGCGUGAAGUGCCGCCAGAAUGGGGAGUUGUAUGGUGGACGAAGGGCUUUUGCCCGCGAUGGGGUAUCCGCACCCGCUG